rnacentral:lncRNA from 1 species
CUAGAUAAAUUGUCGCUUUAAAUAAAUGUGCUCUCAGUGCACUGAUUUUUUGGAUCAAUUAAUACUUAUUAAAUCGAAUAACUUUUUUUUCUCAGUGUAGCUAAACCACUCGAGUCUGCUGCAAAAGUGAGCUUGUUAAUCAGGAUACGUACAGUUUCUCUCCAAGUAAACUUACUGUAUGCUUUUUACUUUUGUGUGCACACGUUAGGACUUCAGACUCGACGCACCUCGGUACUUUUUUGAUUUUCGGUAGUUACAUAUUCAUGGCGUAUAAAACCUAAUUAAACGCCCCUUGAAACAUCAGUGCAAAGUAAUCAAGAACUCGUGAACUAAUUAGCAAGUCCCAUCUAAUCACCCGAGUGUAGCAUACUCAUGUCCUCCGCGUAUAUAUUAUAUGUAUAGGUAUGACUUUUACUUUCAUCAUUCAUCGUACCAUGGUGUACUUCAUUAUUUACGCAUAAAAAUUACCGAACGAACGAAAAUUGCUCGAAUGGGUUCCUCAAACAUUCUAGGACUUUAAAGCUUCUAUAAUUGAUAUUUCUAGGCAAAAUUUCUACACGCUCAAUUUAAACGGUGCGAUGUCUAGAUCUGCCCACGCUUGAUAGCGUAAUUUAAUGAUUUUUUUAAACUCUCCUCUACGAAGAGCUGAAGUGAAAUAGCGCCGCACUCGAAAGUGUGUCCUCUAUAAUUCUCAUCGCUCGUAGCUCCGUAGAUCUGAAUUAUCAUGAUUUAAUACUUCGUACUAAUAAUGUUGAAAAAAAUUUGACCUAGGCUAAAUAGAAAUUGACACGAAAUUUAGUCUAAUUUCAAAUUACCGUUCUUUCCUAACAUAUAUUUUUACGACUAGCAGGACUGAUUGCUCAGCUGCACCUACGGUUCCGUUGCAGUGUUUCUCUAGUCUACUGUCUCUAGGACGUUCUGCCAACGGCAAAUGGCCAGGGGAUAGCUCCUGCGCCUAGACAAGAAUACCAGGGGAGCAUAGCGGCACUUUAGUGAUUUCAGGUUGGAUAAUCGUUUCUAGAGACACGGAGAGCUGGCUGAUCUCGGCUCCAGUCACCGACCUAGGAAAACCGGUUUAGCCGCGAUGCUGCCGAGGCGGCAAGUUCACUAUUAGGGAACUAGGAAACCCAGUCGCUGUUUCGCUCCGAUGCUCGAUGGUCGGGUGAAAGGUAGUUCCACAGUUUGUAUUUUGCGAAUGAUUAACACUUGCGCAAUGGGGCCGCGUUCUUUCCAUAUCUUCGUCUAGAAAUUUUUGACUUAUAAAUUCUAUCUGUACAUUACAUGCUCGAAUCGGACUGGAUCAAGACAUCCGAUAGCACAUUUAUUUAUACCUAUUUUUUCAAUUACAUUUAUGCAUAUAUUUCACAAAAUCACACAAAAUACUGAACGGAUUUGGCACCUCUGACCUUACGUUAAUUGUAAGAAGUUGCAGAUUCGGAUUGCUAUUAGCUUAUAAAAUCCAAUGAGUACAUGAGACGGAAUUGUAAAGUCAUUAGUAAUGUUAUUGCAACGAUGAACUUUUGGGAAAAUCGUUAUUUCACAACUUUAACAUUGUGUGAAAUUCAAGAAAUCGUAAUAAAGCAAACCAUACCUAUAUUUCGAAAACUUGAAUCAUUUGAAGUCAUUCUAAAAUUGCAAAGCUGCCAUUUUUUCUCCAACCGUUUGUUACGGUAACGCUGCCACAACUUCAUUCUCGUAUGACUAGAAUGAUCGUAACAGCUGGGACGUGAACUGUUGUAUGAAUAUUCAGUAUUUAACAUUUGGGUACCGGCAUAAAAGGUGUGUUGACCUGAUCUGAUAGCGGUCAGAAAUUUCUAUUGUUUGCCAUGUCUUAGUGUGGCAAUGUAGGAGAGGUGAUGAAACCUCGGACUCCCAGUCGCAACUAGGGCAUUGUCAAUGGUAUGACAUAACGCGGUUAUUGUAUCGUAAUUUCGUAAUCGUUAGCGGCUAGUGAAAAUCGCUAAAAGAUAGGAAUGUGAAACUCGAAAAAAAAGAAAUUGCGCAUUGAUUGUCGCUGUAAAAAUUUGUAUCAGCUCGAUCGAUGAAUAACAAUAAGAUGAUUCGCGUGCACGAACGGUGAUAACAAACCGAACGAAACCUAUCAGCAUCAGAGAGUUUUAUACUUCAGUGAAAACACUCAAGUUCAAUUUAAAUGGUGUGACGCGACGCAUUAAUCAUACGAGUGGCACGGAGCACCGACUGGAACCUCCCAACAAACGGUAAGAAAUUUAAUGGUAUUGAUUAUCACACUUGUCACAAUCCUGUUUCUUCAAAUUUUUGAAUUGAGUAUACGUAUUUCUAGUGAAACUCUAUUUGUUUUUACGUGCUUAUUCGUUUCAAUUCUUGGUUAAGAAUAGGUUAUUACAAUUCCAAAUCCGAUUAGUUCUAUGUAUGGAAAUGAAUUUUUUUAUAAGAAUAUGAAUCAAUGGACACCAUCUUUUUUUCUCUCCAAAGAAUUUUCUUUUUUCAAUACGAAAGAAUAACCGAUGAAUUAAUACGACGUUUCGGAUUUCUUUAUGUUAUGUGCAAUUCGAACCAAUUACUAGAGUGAGUCAACUAAUCGAUGAAUUCGUUUUCAUUCGGGGUGCAUCUGAGUAUAAAUUUAUAUGAAUUACCGUACAAAGACACCGUAUUGGAUCGAAUUCAAGAAUCUCAAUCCCUUUCAAUUCUUUCCGAUUGUUGAGCCAGUAAUUAAAACCCACUAUUUGCUAGUCCAGAUUGUUAAUUCUGAUUCUGAACAACUUUUAUCGUUGGUCAUUGUAAUUUCGAUUCGGACAGGAGCAGAAAAUGGUAAGUUAAAACGACAAUAACAGAAUAUGAUGAGUUACGUUGUUUAGCAAGAGAAAAACGAAUAUUGUCGUGUGACAUAGUUAGUGUUUUAACCUGCAUAAAAUCAGUUCAAACCAGUUUUCCUUAUUUGAUUUCAAAUAUAUCUGUUUAUUUCAAGCACUGCGUUUUACUUUUCAUCACUUACGGUAAUAUGUAUAAGAAAAAUAUUGAUUUCUGGACUUUGACACAGUUUAUUAUACAAAGUUUACAGAAAAUUUCAUACAAAUUGCUAUACAACGUAUAAAACAAUGCAGUAGAAUAUAAUUUCAUAAAAAAACAGGGGAAGCGUAUGUUUGAUGAAGAAAAGAGAAUAUUGACGACAAGAGAUUUUGAUCUUACUUAAUGAUACUUUCAGUAAUUAUUGAUUUGCAGAGUGAUAAGCAUUAUCGCGAGAAAUAUUAUUUUUACGGUCUAAUUGUUCAAUAAAAAUAAUUACUUUUCUAGAUGACUGAUAUUUUUUCACUACCUUCGCUAACGGUAAAUAUGACGUGCUUACAGGGGGAAGUUCAUUCGAUUAUUCGUUUAGUUGGAGGUAACACAUUGAAAUAGAAUAUCAAACGAUUGAUUUGUAUUAUACGAGACGAAUGCCGUUGGGUUGUUUGUAACUAGGCGCCCAAUCUGUUUGACUAAUUACUUGUCAGGACCGUUACCUGAAGAAGAUAGAGAGUUGCCCCACUGGACUUUGGUGUGACAACCAAAAAUGGUCGUGCGCUUGCGCCCCCUGAGAUGUUCCAAUGGUAGAGUUGAAAACUUAUUGCAGAACAUCAGAGAGUUGCCGAUUUCGACAUGAUGCUGGCUACAUUCACCUUCCGAGUAACGCAGUCUUCGCAAUGCGGAGAGAUAGAACGAAGCUUCUUGAAACUUGCAGUGUAUUUUAACACACAUAUGAGAGGUACCAGCUAAAAUUGUUUGCAUCCAACUGUUACAGAACGGCAGCAUUAUUAGCUGACCCGUUAACUGGAGAAUAUAUCUUUAGUAGACGCUGACCAUCGAAGGGCGUAGCCGCUUGAGUCUGGAAUCGGCAAGAGAGAUAAGACGAAAAUCAACUAGCCGAUUUCCUCAGUCCGGAAACAACCGCGCAGUAGAAUGGACGUAUGAGAACCGCGCUCCGCAGAUUUUGAGUACCGGGGUCUCUACCUCCUGGACCCUGCGCUUCGGGGCCACUUUCUGGUGAAACUUGAGUUCCAGGACAAGCGCUCCGUAGUUUCUACGCUCCAGGUACAACCCGAGGUGGUUAUCGGUGGUUGUUCGAGGUGGUUGGCGAUUGUUGGAGGU